CUAUCAAACCCAAAACCCCACUCCCACUUCCGUAUAGUUCAUAAAAACAAACUCCCUCAGCUCUUUCAAGCUUCAUUGCCUUCUUCAAUUCAACCUCCCUAUCCAUCCAUCCGUCCGUCCCAUCCCAUCCAAUCCGAUGGAGACCGUAUCCACCUGCACUCUAAAUCAACAUCCUUUUCUCACUAGUAACCCAAGACCCUUCGCCUCCAAUUUCGCCUAUGCCUCUUCCGUCUCAGCUCUUGGAUUUACUUUGCCUUCUUCCCAUAAAACUUCUGCCCCUCCAAAUCAACGCAGGAAAACUCUGGUGACUAGCUCUUCCAUUGCUGUUGAACACCACACUCAGACUAAGACUGCUGUCAUAAGAAUUGGAACAAGAGGGAGUCCACUAGCUCUUGCACAAGCUCAUGAGACACGGGACAAAUUGAUAGCAUCUCAUCCAGAACUGGCUGAAGAGGGGUCAAUUCAAAUUGUGAUAAUAAAAACAACAGGUGAUAAAAUCUUAAGCCAGCCACUAGCAGACAUAGGUGGGAAGGGCUUGUUCACCAAAGAAAUAGAUGAGGCUCUCAUUAAUGCAGACAUUGAUAUUGCUGUUCACUCAAUGAAAGAUGUUCCUACAUAUUUGCCUGAUAAGACAAUUUUGCCUUGCAAUCUUCCCCGCGAGGAUGUACGUGAUGCAUUUAUUUCUUUAACUGCAACUUCACUGGCAGAUCUUCCAGCUGGAGCAGUCGUGGGUACUGCUUCGCUGAGGAGGAAAUCGCAAAUUCUUCAUCGUUAUCCAUCUCUUAAGGUGCUUGAAAACUUUCGAGGGAAUGUUCAGACUAGGUUAAGAAAGCUGAAUGAUGGAGUCGUCCAAGCAACAUUAUUGGCAUUAGCUGGCCUCAAACGUCUAAAUAUGACAGAAAAUGUCACUUCUAUUCUUUCUAUGGAUGAUAUGCUUCCAGCUGUUGCUCAAGGGGCCAUUGGAAUUGCAUGUAGAAGCGAUGAUGAGAAGAUGGCCGGUUUUAUUGCCUCACUGAACCACGACGAAACCAGGUUGGCUGUUGCAUGUGAGAGAGCAUUUCUAGAAACGCUUGAUGGGUCUUGUCGCACGCCAAUAGCUGGAUAUGCUUCACGGGACGAGGAUGGUAAUUGUCUCUUUAGAGGAUUGGUGGCUUCCCCAGAUGGUACCCGAGUUCUUGAAACCUCCAGAAAAGGUUCAUACACUUUUGAAGAAAUGGUUGCCAUGGGCAAGGAUGCGGGCAAGGAACUUCUCUCAAAGGCUGGGCCAGGAUUUUUCGACAGUUAGACGACUAAAUGAGUGAGUACGAUGAAUUAGAGUAUGCUUCCAUUUAGACAUGUAUAGAGAAAGAGAGAGAUCCAAGCGGUGUUGCUGGGUUACCAAGUUUGGCGUUUGAGAUCUGCAACAUGCAACCUGGCGUUUGGCCUCGACGGAUGGUAGUGGAUCUGAUGUUGCUGACGGCCCACUUUGUAUGUCAAGUCUGUUUGCGUCUGCUUGGUUGGAUCCAUCUAUUGGACUGCUGGAAAAGUAGGUUUGCUAUCACUUUGGCCCAUUCAUAUACUUCUCCGUCCUUCGAUUUCUAACAUUUUUCUCCUCAGAAGUGUUUUUUUUUUCCUCAUUGUCUAAACUCUCUUUCUGUCUUCGUCCGUUGUCUUCCAAAAACUUACAUAUGCACCGCAUCCAAACACCAGCAAUAUGUGAAUGUGAUGACAAACAUCUCGGAGUUUUCCUUGCUA